GGGUUGCUAACUCAAUGGUAGAGUACUCGGCUUUUAACCGACUAGUUCCCGGUUCGAGUCCGGGGCAACCCA
rnacentral:tRNA from 1 species